GAGGGGCUGGAGGGGAGGUCGCUGGCCCUGGAGGAUCUGAAGGCUGAGGUCCGGACCCUGCACAUCCUCGUGGACCUGAUGCGAGCCCAGCACCUGCGGGACCUGCAGGAGCUGCGGCAGGAGCUGUGCCAGGAGCGGGCUCAGCGCCAGGCGCUGCAGGCAGAGCUCGAGCGGGUGAGGAAGGGGCUGCCCUGUUAGCAUGGAGGAGCAGGUGGGUGGCACAUGGUUCCUGUGCCCCCCCAGCCUGGUUCUGCGCCCAUCGGACACCGAAGCCCACCCCAGACCCAGGCACUGCUCCCUGAAACAUAACAGCCCCAUGAACUACAGAUAGCGUCUAAAAUAAAAUAUUUUGGGUACAAA